ensembl:lncRNA
GAAAUAACUCAAUCUGUAACUGCAUCUAAAAUAGGAAGAGGUAGCAGUGUUGCCAUGCAAGGUUUCCUCUGCGUCUCUUCGUUCCUUCUAAUAUGUCAACAUGAUUCAUUUGUAUCAAAAUGUCACAAUUAUUCACAAUAUUUCAAUUUUUCAUCAACUGUUUCAAAAUAAAUCUUAUUUUUAACUGUUUUAACAAUUGUCUUCUGAUUUUUUAAAACAUUAUUCACAUUGGCCUGUAUGUUAAUGCCAGCUGAAGAACUGAACCACCUGCGUUAGAAGGUAAGUGAAUUACAUGAUUUUUACGAGCAGAUACUAUAUGUUGUUGAAGGUUGAUGUAAUGGUUAUCAAUAUUGUUCAGUGAGUAUCUUUGAUUAUUGAAGUCCUUAUUGUUUAACUUUAUUUGUUCUUCUGCUUAAACAACACAGUUGUAUGGUUUUCCUAUCAUGGAAUAAUCACUACAUCGUGUUUGUCUGUGCUUGAUCACUUCUCUACUGAAGUGUGUGUGUAUGAGUGGUUUUGAUUACAGUAUACCUGCAGUUUGUCCCCUUUUGGGGCAUAGAUGGAUAACAUCCCUUUAAUUUAGCUUUACAAUGCUUUAUUUGUCCUUACAUUAUAUUUGACACAAUUAUAGUGUUGCAUGUGACUUUUAUGUACAGGCCUACUCUAUGCUACUAGACUAAAGUCCAUCGUGUCAUUUGAGAGAGCAUAAACCACCUCUUAACUUUUCAGGAAGUGUUAACGUGCACGUCUGUCUGCUUCUGCCCAUGUUGUGCUGUUAGCUAUUGGAAACGGAGAAUUAUCAAAAUAAUAUAAAUGUAAGUUCAACAUAAUUAUUUUACAAGGCACAGUUGAUUUAAGAUGCAUGUGUGAUCGCUAUCAAAUGUAAUUCCUGUGUUACUGGUUCCUUCGCUUCCUUGUUACGACGUACAUAAUGUCUUUAUGAACGAUGAAGUCCUAUCGCUGUCUUUAUUCAUUCUGUAACUCAUUCUAAGCUCGUCUAUAACGUGGAUGGUGAUAAUGACGAUGACAGAGGCAUAGUAAUAUUCUAUAAAUUGUGUAUGAUUGUGAAUGGUAUGGGACACUUUAAGUGUAUAAACCAUGGUGACCUAAUUUAACCUGCACCAUAAUUUAACCUGCGUUAAUGUCUUUCAAUGCAAGACAGCUAAAGAACAGCGCGUGAGAGGGAAUCUCUGAGAGACGACAUUAAAACAAAGUUUACUCACCUGUGCAAUGGCGAGUGAACUCUCCCCAAAUGUUUAUGGUAAGUAAAUUCCAGUUCAGCCUAUUACUUUUUGAUAAUUCCGUCCUUUACACAGCGUGUGUUUUGAAACACAUUGUGUUAGUUAGUCUGUGUGCUGAGCUUGUGUCUGAUUAUUACCCUCUGAUGCAGGGGGUCCUCCUCCCCAGUCAGAUCUUAGACUCCUGCUGCUUGGGAGAGUCGGAGCUGGGAAAAGUACAGUAGGCAAAACCAUCCUGGGCAGCGAUAACUUCUGGAGUGAAGGAGGCAUGUGUGUGAAGAAGCAGGGUGGAAGGACCGUCACCGUGGUGGACACCCCGGGCUGGGACACUGUGAAGUACACGUCCACAUACAUCAAACAAGAAAUUAAGAAGUGUGACCCCAUGCCCUUCUUCUGGUGGUGCCCAUGGGCGACCCGCUCUCCUCCGCAGAAAGAAAGGCGAUUCGGUAUCACAUGGCGCUAUUGUCAGUUAGGGCAUGGAAGUUUACCAUGGUCUUGUUUGUCAGUGAGGCUGAGGAGAAAUGCACAUCCAUUGAACAAAAUCAGAUGAUCGGCAGAGCAAAAAGUAUUCUAGCGAAAUGUGGACACAGACACCAUCUCCUUGAGUGUGGCAAUUCUCCUCCCCAGAUUUCUGAGCUCCUGAUAAAGCUAGACGCCAUGGUAGCAGAAAACUGUGAAGAAUUCUUAAUCCCCCAAGUAUAUGAUGAACUGAUGGAGACUACAAUGCCAAGUGAAGUGACCGAGCUGAGAAGGAUGUAUGAAGACCGAGAGGACAGACUGAAACGGAAAUACAAAACAGAGUUGAAGGAAAAGGAAGAAGAGCUGAAGAAGUACAGAGAAGAAGAGAAGCCUAAAGAAAGGUUGAUGAAGAGGACAAGUAGCAGUCAACUACUCCCCCCCCCCACGCCCCCCCACCCCCCCCAGUAUAAGCACAGAGAAGAGGACGGGUCGGUAAUGGCUGACCAUCAGAAGGUGGACCUACAGGCCGUCAAGCAAGGAUACAGGGAAGAGGCCUUGUCUGUGGUGGGCCACUACGUCAAACCACUAAUAGUGAUUAUGACUGCUGUAGUGGGGGCACUCAUGGGAGCAGUUGCAGGUGCAGAACAUGGAACACUUGGCGCAUGUACUGGAAUUCCUAUAGGCAUUAUUUUGGCAGUUCUUGUGAGUUAUGCUGUCCGUGGAGCCGACACAGCAGCAAGGGAUAUUUCCAUCGCAGUCAAAGCCGAGGGAAAUGAAAGUCAGAGGAGAGAAGAGGGAGCAGGCUUCUUCUUAGAUUCUACAAAAUCUGAAAGAUUUGAUAAGGAUCAGUGACACUCUUUUGAAUGUCAACACUAUUCUAUUGCUACAGUGUGUAGUGUAUGGACUGUGCUGUAUGGACUGUGCUGUAUGGACUGUGCUGUAUGGACUCUCAUGGUUCACCUGACUUGACUGGCUGACCCCAGUGAAGAGACAGGACAGACUGCCCAGCAAACCGGGAACAUACCCAGAACAUAAGAAAGGGUUUUUAUACAAAAUUAGGACGUUCUCCUAACAUUCACAAAAACGCACAACAUCUGUAACAACCACCAUUCCCCAAACAACAUUCUCGUUAUGUUUCCUGGUAAUGUAAUAACACAAUGUACCAGCAAUGUUUUUUGAACAUACUGUUGCAACAAAAUGUAUACGCAAUGUUCUGGGAACGUUCUUGCAACAUCAGGCAAAUGUUUAUACAAACAUUGUAUAAUCAUCAGCACGACGGGACAGUUUUUGUGUUAUGAUAACAUUUACCGCAACCUAACAAAUGUUCUGGGAGUUUUCAGAGAAACAAUUUUGGUUUGUUAGACGCUCUUUCUCUCUCGCUCUCUCUCUCUCGCUCUCUCUCUCGCCCUCUCUCUCUCUCGCCCUCUCUCUCUCGCCCUCUCUCUCUCUCUCUCGCUCUCUCUCUCGCCCUCUCUCUCUCGCCCUCUCGCUCUCUCUCUCGCCCUGUUAUGAUAACAUUUGCCGCACCUAACAAAUGUUCUGGGAGUUUUCAGAGAAACAAUUUUGGUUUGUUAGACGCUCUUUCUCUCUCGCCCUCUCUCUCUCGCUCUCUCUCUCGCCCUCUCUCGCCUCUCUCGCUCUCUCUCUCUCGCCCUCUCUCUCUCGCCCUCUCUCUCUCGCCCUCUCUCUCUCGCUCUCUCUCUCGCCCUCUCUCGCCCUCUCC